rnacentral:rRNA from 1 species
AUUGAACGCUGGCGGCAGGCCUAACACAUGCAAGUCGAGCGAGCGGUGGACGGGUGAGUAAUGUAUGGGGACUGCCCGCUAGAGGGGGAUAACUACUGGAAACGGUGGCUAAUACCGCAUACUAUCGGAUAACCCAUAUGGGAUUAGCUAGUAGGUGGGGUAAAGGCUCACCUAGGCGACGAUCUCUAGCUGGUCUGAGAGGAUGGUCAGCCACACUGGGACUGAGACACGGGCCAGACUCCUACGGAGGCAGGAGUGGGGAAUAUUGGACAAUGGGCGCAAGGCGGAUGCAGCCAUGGCGCGUGUAUGAAGAAGGCCUUAGGGGUGUAAAGGACGUUAAGCGGGGAGGCGGUACCUGCAGAAGAAGCACCGGCUAACUCCGUGCCAGCAGCCGCGGUAAUAC